GAUGAACCUGGAGCUUGCUCUGGGGGAUUAGUGGCGAACGGGUGAGUAACACGUGAGUAACCUGCCCUUGACUCUGGGAUAACCUCCGGAAACGGAAGCUAAUACCGGAUAUGACGUACGGAGGCAUCUCCUGUGCGUGGAAAGAAUUUUGGUCAAGGAUGGACUCGCGGCCUAUCAGGUAGUUGGUGAGGUAACGGCUCACCAAGCCUACGACGGGUAGCCGGCCUGAGAGGGUGACCGGCCACACUGGGACUGAGACACGGCCCAGACUCCUACGGGAGGCAGCAGUGGGGAAUAUUGCACAAUGGGCGCAAGCCUGAUGCAGCAACGCCGCGUGAGGGACGACGGCCUUCGGGUUGUAAACCUCUUUUAGUAGGGAAGAAGCGAAAGUGACGGUACCUGCAGAAAAAGCACCGGCUAACUACGUGCCAGCAGCCGCGGUAAUACGUAGGGUGCAAGCGUUGUCCGGAAUUAUUGGGCGUAAAGAGCUCGUAGGCGGUUUGUCGCGUCUGCUGUGAAAACCCGAGGCUCAACCUCGGGCCUGCAGUGGGUACGGGCAGACUAGAGUGCGGUAGGGGAGAAUGGAAUUCCUGGUGUAGCGGUGGAAUGCGCAGAUAUCAGGAGGAACACCGAUGGCGAAGGCAGUUCUCUGGGCCGUAACUGACGCUGAGGAGCGAAAGCGUGGGGAGCGAACAGGAUUAGAUACCCUGGUAGUCCACGCCGUAAACGUUGGGCGCUAGAUGUGGGGA
rnacentral:rRNA from 1 species